AGCUGUGAACCGUUCGACUUGAAGCACAACCUCAGACGGUGAACAGCUUCUCUAAGCGCAUGAAGCAUCCGUGUCAUGAUGCGCUCACCUCAGUGCUGGGCUGGAUGACGGACAGCUGGUUGACCCAGUGGUGAUAGUCCAGUGUCCCCUGACCGUCCUGUGUGCUGCUGGUCACCAGCUGAGACCUCAGCACUCUCCAGGGCAGACCCAGACGCAGAACCUUCUCCACAGCAGCGGCCCAGUGCUUCACAGAGAUCACACCUGACACAGUUAUUCACAGACACUUCAGUAAACAUCCUCAAACCCUCACUGUGACCUGGUUCAGCUCUCAGAGUUUCCCAAAAACACGGUUAGCUUCAGCAGAUUGUAGAACUAUUGCCACUGAUGAUCUCUGAUCAACUUCACCACGCAGCACUGGUCAGUUUAUUCAGGACCUGAGCAGGAUCUGAGUCAGACGACAGACUGAGGCCGGCCAGGCGACGUCUCUCUCGCAGCUCCUGCUCGACGGAGCGACCCGUCCGGCCCGACUCGGAGUGAACUGAAUGCCGUGG